GGGUUACUCAGCCCCUGCUAAAAGUCUAGAUCCUUGCUCUUCCUGACUCAGGAGACAGACAGACGGCUUCAGUAAGUCCGACUUCCCACCAGCUGUUCUGAUCUUCCAGGCUCACUUCAUCCGGCCAGGCGGAACUUGGCGACACGUGAUCCCACACAAGACUACGCCAAGCUGAGUCUUACUGGGGAUCCGUGCUGGAGUGGACUGGAGCGGACUGGAGCGGAGGUCAGGAGCCUGUGCUGUCCCCUGAGGGUGCCUUGUUACCUUACCCUGCUCCAACGCACACAGCAUAACUUCUUUUCCUGGUCACUCUGAUCUCCAGGUUUCUGAGAUUCCAGAGUGAUAUGCCUUGAUGUCUCUUUCCUUAUGUUUCAUGUGUCUAAGCUUCAGUGAGCUUCUAAGAACUAAGUAUCCUAACAUGAAACCAUGAAACAGUGCUCAAGCAAAAGCCUGCAAGACUUGGAUCCAUCCACUCUACUAAAGGGUGUAAGACCACUGACAGCCUGGGGCAUGUAUCUGAGCUGCCCUUUGGAAAUUGACCACUGCCUAGCAGCCCAGCACAGAAAGGCACACAGACACCUCCGUUGAUGUCAUCAGCCCAGCUAAAAAUGAUGCCAGAUGCUUAGAAGAGACAAGAAGGCUUGUCCAGGAGUACUGGUCAGCUAAGCUCCUCGGUGCCACCAAGAAUAGCUGUUCAAACAGUCAUCCUUCAGUCAUAGGAAAGCUUCGGUACGGAGAAAGGGUGUGCAUCUAUCCGUGGCUGGUGCAUCUCCAAAUGAUUUCAAUUUAUGAUGAUAUUUGAAUACAGAAAAAUAAACGAAAACACUAGCACAUUUGACAUUUGAAAUUAUGCUGAUUGGCUGGCAUAUUUUAAAACACAUCAAAUAAAGACAGGCAUCAAUGUUUGACAAAUUUUUGUACCAGAUAUAUCGUAAGAAACAAACGAAAUGGAAAGUAUCAACAAA
rnacentral:lncRNA from 1 species